AACGAACGCUGGCGGCAUGCCUAACACAUGCAAGUCGAACGAGACCUUCGGGUCUAGUGGCGCACGGGUGCGUAACGCGUGGGAACCUGCCCUUAGGUUCGGAAUAACUCCCCGAAAGGGGUGCUAAUACCGGAUAAUGUCUUCGGACCAAAGAUUUAUCGCCUUUGGAUGGGCCCGCGUUUGAUUAGCUAGUUGGUAGGGUAAAAGCCUACCAAGGCGACGAUCCAUAGCUGGUCUGAGAGGAUGAUCAGCCACACUGGGACUGAGACACGGCCCAGACUCCUACGGGAGGCAGCAGUGGGGAAUAUUGGACAAUGGGCGAAAGCCUGAUCCAGCAAUGCCGCGUGAGUGAUGAAGGCCUUAGGGUUGUAAAGCUCUUUUACCCGGGAUGAUAAUGACAGUACCGGGAGAAUAAGCUCCGGCUAACUCCGCG
rnacentral:rRNA from 1 species